rnacentral:rRNA from 1 species
UGGCUCAGAUUGAACGCUGGCGGCAGGCCUAACACAUGCAAGUCGAGCGGUAGAGAGAAGCUUGCUUCUCUUGAGAGCGGCGGACGGGUGAGUAAUGCCUAGGAAUCUGCCUGGUAGUGGGGGAUAACGUUCGGAAACGGACGCUAAUACCGCAUACGUCCUACGGGAGAAAGCAGGGGACCUUCGGGCCUUGCGCUAUCAGAUGAGCCUAGGUCGGAUUAGCUAGUUGGUGGGGUAAUGGCUCACCAAGGCGACGAUCCGUAACUGGUCUGAGAGGAUGAUCAGUCACACUGGAACUGAGACACGGUCCAGACUCCUACGGGAGGCAGCAGUGGGGAAUAUUGGACAAUGGGCGAAAGCCUGAUCCAGCCAUGCCGCGUGUGUGAAGAAGGUCUUCGGAUUGUAAAGCACUUUAAGUUGGGAGGAAGGGCCAUUACCUAAUACGUGAUGGUUUUGACGUUACCGACAGAAUAAGCACCGGCUAACUCUGUGCCAGCAGCCGCGGUAAUACAGAGGGUGCAAGCGUUAAUCGGAAUUACUGGGCGUAAAGCGCGCGUAGGUGGUUUGUUAAGUUGGAUGUGAAAUCCCCGGGCUCAACCUGGGAACUGCAUUCAAAACUGACUGACUAGAGUAUGGUAGAGGGUGGUGGAAUUUCCUGUGUAGCGGUGAAAUGCGUAGAUAUAGGAAGGAACACCAGUGGCGAAGGCGACCACCUGGACUGAUACUAC